rnacentral:rRNA from 1 species
ACCGUGUACGUACAAGCAGUGGGAGCACGCUUAGGCGUGUGACUGCGUACCUUUUGUAUAAUGGGUCAGCGACUUAUAUUCUGUAGCAAGGUUAACCGAAUAGGGGAGCCGAAGGGAAACCGAGUCUUAACUGGGCGUUAAGUUGCAGGGUAUAGACCCGAAACCCGGUGAUCUAGCCAUGGGCAGGUUGAAGGUUGGGUAACACUAACUGGAGGACCGAACCGACUAAUGUUGAAAAAUUAGCGGAUGACUUGUGGCUGGGGGUGAAAGGCCAAUCAAACCGGGAGAUAGCUGGUUCUCCCCGAAAGCUAUUUAGGUAGCGCCUCGUGAAUUCAUCUCCGGGGGUAGAGCACUGUUUCGGCAAGGGGGUCAUCCCGACUUACCAACCCGAUGCAAACUGCGAAUACCGGAGAAUGUUAUCACGGGAGACACACGGCGGGUGCUAACGUCCGUCGUGAAGAGGGAAACAACCCAGACCGCCAGCUAAGGUCCCAAAGUCAUGGUUAAGUGGGAAACGAUGUGGGAAGGCCCAGACAGCCAGGAUGUUGGCUUAGAAGCAGCCAUCAUUUAAAGAAAGCGUAAUAGCUCACUGGUCGAGUCGGCCUGCGCGGAAGAUGUAACGGGGCUAAACCAUG